CCUAGUGUUAGAAAUCAUUCAUAUGUGGUAGGAUUAGAAAUCUUUCAAUAUAAAGUGUAGUUUUUGGAAGACAACUGAUGUCUUCUUAGAAAUUGGUAGCACUGGAAAGUUGAAGGCAUGAUCAGAUGAGGAGGGGACCCGAAAAUAUAUGGUGACAUUGACACACAAGACGUCACCGUUUGGUAUAUAACCCUGGAGGUGUUUUCUUUACUCGCUAGUAUCUCGGCGAAAUCAGCUUUCCAGAGUCAUCAACAAUGGUAGUAGGUGAUUUUCUAGAUACUAAGACUUAAAAAAACGUAAGAAGUCUUAGCUGGUUGAGAUCGGAGCAGCUCCAAGGGUUGAAAUGAAAAAGAAAAAAAGAAAAUUGCUAGCACGGUGCUGCUUUGCUUCUUAUAUUUGUAAACUAAACAGGGUUUUUUACUCGUUCCAAUAAUGAGUUUGCAUCCUCCUGCAAAAAUCAUCAGUUUGAAUAUUUUUUAGGAUUGUGAGAACCAAAAGAACCCAUGCAUAGAGGAUUGUGAAAGAUUUCUCCAAUCCAAUAAAAUCUAAACGAGAAGUGAAAAACACUUGAGAGCACCUUAGAAUUAGCUUGUUUGAUCGAAACGACGAUAUUAAUUUCUUUUUAGAAGAACUGUUAA